GCGCUGCCGAGGCCCAGAAGCCCGCCCCAGGACACCCACUGGCCGCACACCGCCCCCGGGAUGCCGCAGGCCCCAAGCAAGCCCUGGACCGUGCAGAAUAGCCCAGCCCCCGAGAGGGGCAGCGAUAGCGGUGUCACUCAGGGUGUCCAGCUAGUACCUACCUCCUGGGACUGUUGAGAAAUGCUGAGUAUGCCGAUGAAGUGGUGCAGGGUGUAUCACCCCAGGGGACGCUGCUUUGAAGAUGAAAUUCCUAUAUGAAAGAUGUCCUCCCUAAUAUCAGAAGGAAAGUACCGUUCUUAUCAUCAAGGAGAGAAGAUAAGACCAAGAGAAUUCUAAACAAACAGACCUUGUUAAAAUAGUUCUUAUCUUCCUUUAGCCUCCCCACAUUGUUAAGUCACUUGUCCACAAUUGCUUCUCUUUGUUCAACCCAAUAUAAAAGCUAAUAAGUUUUGCCAUUUAUUUGGGUCUUCAUUUCCUUAUGAAGGCUCCUGUAUCAUGUAAAACAAUAUGAAUUAGUAUGCUUUUCUUGCAUUAAUCUAUUUUUGUCAGUUUAAUUUUUAGGCCCAACCAGGGACCCUAGGA